GCCAGGUGCCACGGCGGGAGUCCAUAGUCCCGGCUACUCGGGAGACUGAGGCUGGAGGAUCGCUUGAGGCCAGGAGUCCUGGAGUCCUGGGCUGUCCUGUGCCAUGCUGACUGGGUGUCCACACUAAGUUCAGCAUCAAGGUGGUGGCCUCCUGGGAACAGGGGACCGCCAGGUUGCCUAAGGAGGGGCGAACCGGCCCAGGUCGGAAAUGGAGCAGGUCAAAACCACCAUAGUGAUCGCAUACAUCAGUGAGAGUAGUGAAUGCCACUUGCAGGCCCCCUCCCCUAACACAGUCCCCC
ensembl:misc_RNA Metazoa_SRP Metazoan signal recognition particle RNA